GGCAGCAGUAGGGAAUUUUCCGCAAUGGGCGAAAGCCUGACGGAGCAAUACCGCGUGAGGGAAGAAUGCCUAUGGGUUGUAAACCUCUUUUUUCAGGGAGGAACAUAAUGACGUGUACCUGAAGAAUAAGCAUCGGCUAACUCCGUGCCAGCAGCCGCGGUAAGACGGAGGAUGCAAGUGUUAUCCGGAAUCACUGGGCGUAAAGCGUCUGUAGGUGGUUUAAUAAGUCAACUGUUAAAUCUUGAGGCUCAACCUCAAAAUCGCAGUCGAAACUAUUAGACUAGAGUAUAGUAGGGGUAAAGGGAAUUUCCAGUGGAGCGGUGAAAUGCGUAGAGAUUGGAAAGAACACCGAUGGCGAAAGCACUUUACUGGGCUAUUACUGACACUCAGAGACGAAAGCUAGGGUAGCAAAUGGGAUUAGAUACCCCAGUAGUCCUAGCUGUAAACAAUGGAUACUAGAUGUUGAACAGAUCGACCUGUGCAGUAUCAAAGCUAACGCGUUAAGUAUCCCGCCUGGGAAGUAUGCUCGCAAGAGUGAAACUCAAAU
rnacentral:rRNA from 1 species